rnacentral:rRNA from 1 species
CCUACGGGUCGCACCAGUGGGGAAUAUUGCACAAUGGGCGCAAGCCUGAUGCAGCGACGCCGCGUGAGGGAUGACGGCCUUCGGGUUGUAAACCUCUUUCGCCAGGGACGAAGCGCAAGUGACGGUACCUGGAGAAGAAGGACCGGCCAACUACGUGCCAGCAGCCGCGGUAAUACGUAGGGUCCGAGCGUUGUCCGGAAUUACUGGGCGUAAAGAGCUCGUAGGUGGUUUGUCGCGUUGUUCGUGAAAACUCACAGCUUAACUGUGGGCGUGCGGGCGAUACGGGCAGACUGGAGUACUGCAGGGGAGACUGGAAUUCCUGGUGUAGCGGUGGAAUGCGCAGAUAUCAGGAGGAACACCGGUGGCGAAGGCGGGUCUCUGGGCAGUAACUGACGCUGAGGAGCGAAAGCGUGGGGAGCGAACAGGAUUAGAUACCCGCGUAGUC